CACGGGGGGAGCAAGCGCUGUUCGGAAUCACUGGGCGUAAAGGGCGUGUAGGCGGUCAGGUAAGUGGGAUGUGAAAUGCCCCGGCUCACCCGGGGACCGGCAUCCCAUACUGCUUGGCUUGAGUACGGGAGAGGAUGUGGGAAUUCCUGGUGUAGCGGUGAAAUGCGUAGAUAUCAGGAGGAACACCGGUGGCGAAGGCGCACAUCUGGCCCGAUACUGACGCUGAGGCGCGAAAGCUAGGGGAGCAAACUGG
rnacentral:rRNA from 1 species